GGCGAACGCUGGCGGCAGGCCUAACACAUGCAAGUCGAGCGCUCGUAGCAAUACGAGAGCGGCAGACGGGAGAGUAACACGUGGGAACGUACCCUUUGGUUCGGGAUAACACAGGGAAACCUGUGCUAAUACCGAAUAAGCCCUUACGGGGAAGAUUUAUCGCCGAAGGAUCGGCCCGCGUCUGAUUAGCUAGUUGGUGGGGUAACGGCUCACCAAGGCGACGAUCAGUAGCUGGUCNGAGAGGAUGACCAGCCUCAUUGGGACUGAGACACGGCCCAAACUCCUACGGGAGGCAGCAGUGGGGAAUCUUGCGCAAUGGGCGAAAGCCUGACGCAGCAACGCCGCGUGAGUGAUGAAGGCCUUC
rnacentral:rRNA from 1 species